CAAUAAGCGGAGGAAAAGAAACCAACAGGGAUUGCCCCAGUAACGGCGAGUGAAGCGGCAACAGCUCAAAUUUGAAAUCUGGCCCCCGGGUCCGAGUUGUAAUUUGUAGAGGAUGCUUUUGGCGAGGUGCCUUCCGAGUUCCCUGGAACGGGACGCCAUAGAGGGUGAGAGCCCCGUCUGGUCGGACACCGAGCCUCUGUAAAGCUCCUUCGACGAGUCGAGUAGUUUGGGAAUGCUGCUCAAAAUGGGAGGUAUAUGUCUUCUAAAGCUAAAUAUUGGCCAGAGACCGAUAGCGCACAAGUAGAGUGAUCGAAAGAUGAAAAGCACUUUGAAAAGAGGGUUAAAAAGUACGUGAAAUUGUUGAAAGGGAAGCGCCUAUGACCAGACUUGGGCCCGGUGAAUCAUCCAGCGUUCUCGCUGGUGCACUUUGCCGGGCACAGGCCAGCAUCAGUUUGGCGCGGGGGAGAAAGGCUCUGGGAAUGUGGCUCCUCCGGGAGUGUUAUAGCCCACUGCGUAAUACCCUGCGCCGGACUGAGGUACGCGCAUUGCAAGGAUGCUGGCGUAAUGGUCAUCAGCGACCCGUCUUGAAACACGGACCAAGGAGUCGUCUUCGUAUGCGAGUGUUCGGGUGUCAAACCCCUACGCGUAAUGAAAGUGAACGCAGGUGAGAGCUUCGGCGCAUCAUCGACCGAUCCUGAUGUUCUCGGAUGGAUUUGAGUAAGAGCAUACGGGGCCGGACCCGAAAGAAGGUGAACUAUGCCUGUAUAGGGUGAAGCCAGAGGAAACUCUGGUGGAGGCUCGCAGCGGUUCUGACGUGCGAAUCGAUCGUCAAAUAUGGGCAUGGGGGCGAAAGACUAAUCGAACCUUCUAGUAGCUGGUUC
rnacentral:rRNA from 1 species